UAUGAAGAACGUAGCGAAAUGCGAUAAGUAAUGUGAAUUGCAGAAUUCAGUGAAUCAUCGAAUCUUUGAACGCACAUUGCGCCCGCCAGUAUUCUGGCGGGCAUGCCUGUCUGAGCGUCAUUUCAACCCUCAUGCCCCUAGGGCGUGGUGUUGGGGAUCGGCCAAAGCCCGCGAGGGACGGCCGGCCCCUAAAUCUAGUGGCGGACCCGUCGUGGCCUCCUCUGCGAAGUAGUGAUAUUCCGCAUCGGAGAGCGAUGAGCCCCUGCCGUUAAACCCCCAACUUUCCAAGGUUGACCUCAGAUCAGGUAGGAAUACCCGCUGAACUUAAGCAUAUCAAUAAGCGGAGGA
rnacentral:misc_RNA from 1 species